GUGCUCACUUUGGCAGCACAUAUACUAAAAUUGGAACGGUACAGAGAUUAGCAUGACCACUGCACAUGGAUGACACGCACAUUCAUGAAGUGCUCCAUGUUUUG
rnacentral:snRNA from 1 species